rnacentral:misc_RNA from 1 species
AACGCACAUUGCGCCCGCUAGUAUUCUGGCGGGCAUGCCUGUUCGAGCGUCAUUUCAACCAUCAAGCCCCGGGCUUGUGUUGGGGCACUGCGGCUGCCGCAGGCCCCCAAAAGCAGUGGCGGACUCGCUGUCAUACCGAGCGCAGUAGCACAUCUCGCUCAGGGCGUGGCGGCGGGCACCGGCCGUAAAAUACCUACACCUAAGGUUGACCUCGGAUCAGGUAGGAAUACCCGCUGAACUUAA